UCCCCGUUUAAGCGAGGCAGUCUGUCCAGAGUGCUCCAGCCACUCGGCCGGGUGGCAACAGGACAUAAGGGUUGCGCUCGUUGCGGGACUUAACCCAACAUCUCACGACACGAGCUGACGACAGCCAUGCAGCACCUGUGCACGCUCCCCUUGCGGGGUCGUUCCGCUUUCACGGUCCUACCACGUGCAUGUCAAGGCCAGGUAAGGUUCUUCGCGUUGCAUCGAAUUAAACCACAUGCUCCACCGCUUGUGCGGGCCCCCGUCAAUUCCUUUGAGUUUCAGUCUUGCGGCCGUACUCCCCAGGCGGAGUGCUUAAUGCGUUAGCUGCAGCACUAAAGGGCGGAAACCCUCUAACACUUAGCACUCAUCGUUUACGGCGUGGACUAA
rnacentral:misc_RNA from 1 species